GAGGAGUAUCUGACACCAGAUUUCCUCCUUUUGUAAGGUUGAAACUAGCAAAGGAGCAAGACCCACGGCAGACGCCAACAGCCCCAAGGCCAGAGCUGGACCCGAUUCGCACUCACAGGGUGACAGAUGAAAAGGUUUACUCAAAACAUUCCUGGGAGCAAGUGUGGUUCAGAGAUGUUCUGCUUAAUGCUUUUGAUCCUGGGGCCCUCUGAAUAAGCUGGAAGCUGCUGUACCCUCUCCUCUCAGCAUCUUGAGCAAGUAGCCUGCUUCCUGACAUGUGGCCAGCACCAAGGAUGGACGCCUGGCACUCUCACCUAUUCAGAUUCUCUCCUGAACAUCUGGCCUGCACUAUCUUCUAAUCUGCAUCUCUGCCUGUUCCUGACCUCAUCAGCUCCUGACCCCCAGGUACUACCUAUGAGAUGGUCAGAGAGAGAGAGAGAUCAUUUGCCCAAGAUCACACGGUAAGGGGUUGAAGCUGUUAUGUUCAUCCAGUCUAUCUGAUUACCAAGUUAUUCCCCCCACAGUACUGGGGCAUUACUGAAAGAAUUAAACCUGUCAGGACAA